rnacentral:rRNA from 1 species
UACGUAGGGUGCGAGCGUUGUCCGGAAUUAUUGGGCGUAAAGAGCUUGUAGGCGGUUUGUCGCGUCUGCCGUGAAAAUUUCGAGGCUCAACCUCGAACUUGCGGUGGGUACGGGCAGACUAGAGUGUGGUAGGGGGAGACUGGAAUUCCUGGUGUAGCGGUGAAAUGCGCAGAUAUCAGGAGGAACACCGAUGGCGAAAGCAGGUCUCUGGGCCACUACUGACGCUGAGAAGCGAAAGCAUGGGGGAGCGAACAGG